GUAAGUAUAGUUUAACCAAAACAUCAGAUUGUGAUUCUGAAAAUAGGGGUUAGAGCCCCCUUACUCACC
rnacentral:tRNA from 1 species